rnacentral:rRNA from 1 species
AUGUGAUCGUCUCUCGCAUAUCAAUAAGCGGAGGAAAAGAAACUAACAAGGAUUCCCCUAGUAACGGCGAGUGAAGCGGGAAGAGCUCAAAUUUGAAAUCUUAAAGGGUUUCCCUUUACGAAUUGUAGUUUAAAGAAGUGUUUUCUGUUGAGGUUUUGGUAAAAGUUCUUUGGAAUAGGACAUCAUAGAGGGUGAGAAUCCCGUAUUUGACCUUUACUUUCAACUUUGUGAUACACUUUCAAAGAGUCGGAUUGUUUGGGAAUGCAGUCCAAAAUGGGUGGUAAAUUUCAUCUAAAGCUAAAUAUUGGCGAGAGACCGAUAGCGAACAGGUACCGUGAGGGAAAGAUGAAAAGAACUUUGAAAAGAGAGUUAAACAGUACGUGAAAUUGUCAAAAGGGAAGCGUUUGACACCAGUGUUGUUUUUCUGAAAAUCAAUUAAAGAACUGUUUAUGCUAAGCUGUUUAGACUUUAUCAGCUAUCUGUUUAGUUUUGAGCUUUUCUUUAAUGCACUUUUCAGUUAACAAGUCAACAUCAAUUUCUUUUGCUGUAAAAAAGCUUGAGGAAGGUGGCUUGAGAUUCGUCUUAAGUGUUUAUAGCCUCUUGCCUAUGCAGUCGGAGAGAUUGAGGUCUGCAGCGUAGAUCCUUCGGGGCUAAAUGCAUUUGUGCUAAGUUAUAGCAUUUUAUAGACAACUUGUUGACUAUGAUUUGUCUUGUAGCUUACUCGCUUAUGUUAUUUUACCUACGCUUAGGAUGUUGAUCUACAGAGCGAGAGU